GGCAGGUUCCUGAGACUGAAACGGAAGACCACUUUCAUUUGCCCUCACCCAAAAGACUCAAUGGAGGAGAACAGAACCCCUGCAAUGACACAAAGAUUGGUCCCAGGUUCUUGAAUGUAGCGGUGGCCUCCUUCAGAUCUCUCCGUUUCCCACUCCAAUACACAAACAAGUUAAAACAGAUAGACAAAACCGCAAGACCGACAAUCAUCUGAAAACUCAGUGAUAUAAGUUUGCAAACCACUGGAGGUCAUUGAGAUGAAUGACUAGGAGAAUCAUUUUUUGAAUUGUCUUCCAUAGUCAAAACAGUUUCAGGCUGAUGCGAACCAUGUAACUGGAUUGUCAUAAAAUCCUUUGAUCUGGAAAUGUUGUUGGAAAUUCUCUCUCUCAGCUUUUUUGUGACCAUGAGCUUGCCAUAAUGCAUAUGUCAGGGAUAAGUCCGCACAGUUUUGUAUUUAUCACAUCAAAUAUCAUAAAUAAUUGCCAAUUGGCAUUCUGUUUACACGAGGGAAGCAAAACCAUGUUCAGCUAUACAGAGGCACCUGCACCCAAAAAAUAACUAGGCCUACAUCACAAUUGCACAAUAUACUAAACAGCUGACUUCAGAUCCUUGCCUUGCUUCCCUACAUCAGCUUGGAUAUUGGCCCCUUUGGAUUCUCUCACUGUCAUCAACCAUCUAUUCCUGUGGAUUGAAUAAAUAAAGAUGAUGCGCUUGAUCGACUCCUUGAGCUUUCAUAUCCAGAUUGUACAAACUGAGGAUCACUUAAAAUAUCCUGCAGAAAAAAAAUCAACAAUUUGUCAAGUCUUCUGAAUUAUGUUCACCUAUGUUGCAAAUUCUGAGAAAGACUUCUAGAUGGACAUUCUGUGUGCUCUGUUCUAGGCUCUUCAAGAGUUGGUUUCGAAGUGGGGAUACAGUUGGAGCUGGACGGGAGGCGGAUCUCACUGAUGAGAUUUU